UCAAAUCCCAGUUUUUUCGUAGACCGCUGCGUAAGCUUGUCGCCUAGAUCGCUCGACCGCUUAUGUAAAAGUCUGCCUCGCUUCAUCCACAGACUAUGACUCUGAAAGCCCUUGUCUUAGUGGCAGCUAUGGAGUGGUUUAUGAGGCGGCCGAAGGCAAGUCCAGGUUUAAAUCAGGCCAAUGGCCAUAGACCAAUCGUCGUAGCAACGAGGGGCUUUGUUUUGUGUGUUUAGCCUGUCGCUUCUCGCUUCGCUUUCCCGCUAGGCCAAAAUGAGCUUGGGGGUAUUUCGAACUUUCCGUGCAUAGGUUCUGGGAAUGGGCGGCCAACGAUGGCAGCGCGCUGUGCCGCAAUGGCGUCAGAGGACUGGGCAGGGUAAAUGCGACCAGGGUGAUCGCAGUUGAACUGAGCAAGAAGUCAACGAACGGUGAGAUAAUAAGAAGAGCGAUGCGGCGGUUUCGUUUCCUCCUUUAGUUUCUCAGACAGAAGCAUUGGGAAAAGAUGAUGGGGUACUGAUCUACUCUUCCGUAACGGCAAUCAUGGGUUGUCGUGAUCGAACUGUGACGAAUAUUGAAGAGCUUGAUUUUCGUAAGCGUUCUCAACAGUCUGUACCCUAUUACAGGUCAGCUGGUAUAAAUGAAAAAGAUAUCAUGGUAUAGGUGAUUCUAUUGGAUAGUAUACGGAACAAAUAUAUCAGCUUGGUCUUCGUGAAUCUACAUGUAGAUCGAUUGCACCAAAUUGUCAGAGGAAAGAACGCGUUUUCAGUGAUGAUUGCUACUGGGCCGUGUGUUCCGGUGCGCGGGGGCUUGCUUCUACACGUUAGCAACUAGCUAAUUUCUAACAUUUCAAAUUUUUGUUGGCUUAUAUCUGAGCCAAAUCCCUAACUGGGCCCAAAAAAUAUCAUCAUGCCUUGUCAUUUGAUUGCCUGCUUUCAAAAGAUUGUUCUAUCGCUGUCCGACUUUUGACGGAUAGCGGCGCAGCGAAAGUUUUCGGCUUCAGGUUAACUCGCUUUAAUUCAUCGUUAGCGUUCGGUGCUAUGUUAAAUGGUGAGAACUAUCGAGUGUCUCUUAACGCUGCUGGGCAUGUAUCCGUACCUCUUAAAGGCAAACGUGAAGGAGAAGCUCCUGUAGCAUGUUCUCAUUUCUAAGCGAUCGUGGAUACAUAGAUUUCGACAAGCUCUGUUGUGCGGACGAAAGGCAGAUUCGCUGCCUCGUUCUUCUGUCAGCGACCGUGCUGAGGGCCACGAGGUGAAUCAAAGGUCAAUCAGGCUUGGUACGAUCUUAAUACUAGCGGACGCUAACGUAUACGCGCAUAAACCGAGCAACAAACUCUUAGCAACAAACAUGAGGUGGCGUACUUUGCGUCCGUGUGCUCCUUCGUAGCUCAGCACCACUUUAGAGGUAGCGACUACAGGGGCUUGGUCAACGGGAAAGAUACCGCCAGCUUUAGCAGCGGCAACAGCAGAGUCAUCAUCGUGCAACAGAAACAACGAUGACACUGGCGCCGAUGAACAUGACGACGACGACUUCAAAUAAACGUUAAGGCGGAACCGUAUCAGCGGCAUGGUAGAGCCGGCAGUGGCAAUAGGGCAGAAGCUCACCUAUCGUCUCGCCUUGGUAUGACAACUCCUUCACGGAGCUGUCAGCAAUGGCCGAAAUCCGCUUUCUUGCCGUUUCUUUUCGGCAAUCCGGCGACUCAGCGCAGGUCGACUCAUCUACGAUUUCAUCGAGGCUUAACAGAAUCGCCAACGAAACGGUUUUGCAUUGGAACUGAGCGGCGCACCUCGGAGGUCACGACACGAUGACACCGAACUGCGUCUAUGGUCAGCUCACCUUCAUGAAGAAGCCCCAAAUAUAAAACAAUAUGGUAGCGCAGGACAAAGCGCAGUCGCUCCUUUCACCCAUGUUCGACGCGUGUUUAGUAUGCACGUCACAGAUAAUUGCGAAUCGAAACAAUAUCCACCCAUCCAUCUAUCCACCCAUAAAUGCCCCUAGCACACCGAGUAUUUCCACUACGACAAGAUGACGGCUAGUGCUGCUGCUGCUGCUGCUACCAAUAUGGUCAAUCUAUCCACUAAAUGCAACAGGAUACCAACAGCUCUUUCCGAGCGUGUAUAUAGCAUGGCUCGACAGGACAUAAGGGAUUGAGUAAGCAAAUAAUGACUACAGUAUGAAUGAAGGCAAACGAAAAAGUUGAAAGAGGAAGAAGAAUAUAGAGUAAAAGAUGAAUGAAGAAUGAUUUAUAUAUAUAUAUAAGGCUUUACAUAGAAUUUCCAUGUUUAGGACACGAUUUUUUCCGUCGAGCCUAACUGGUAUAUAUGUUUUUAUAGAUUCAAAAUUGUCAUGAAACUAAAGAGAUCCUAAUUAGAAGACACAUGCCAGAGAAACAGUAUAAAAAAAAAUUCCUGGAACAGGCAGCUUAAGGCCAACCGCCAGAUAUAAUUCAACUAUUUGCAGACACUAUUUGGAGGCAAAUAUUGAAUGUGAUUAUAACAAUAUAUAUAAUACAUAAAAAAAAAGUGACUGGGAAGUGAAGUAACUUCAACUCUUGGUAAACAAAAUUUACAGAUAGAAUCUAUAAAAAACGAAUUAAUUGUGAUCUUGAUAACACUUCUAAAUAACUAAUCGUUGCAUAGAGUCAAGCAAAAAUUGAUCAGCAUUUAAUAGACUGAUACCCAUAGAGAAAAUGUGCGUAGGUUUAACUCAGCACGGGUGUCCAACUGAAGUAAUUUUGUGUUCCCAAAUUUUAUAGCCAGACGC